UGAAAAGCAUCAAGUGUCCGCACUGCAUGGCUGCAAGCCUGCAACGUUUUUUGAAUCUUCAACAAAAUUCCUGGACUUUACUGUUAUUUAAUUAAUCUUUUGCCGCUUUGCCGGACCUGGUAAAGGUUUGGUCUUUUUUUGUUAUUUCUUCGUGGGUUCUGUGUAGUCGCCAAAAAUGACCUUGUUUUUCCCGAUUAGCAGCUGCCUGAGGUAAUAUUUCUCUACAAGAGAUUCAUUGUCUACUUUCCUUUCUGAAUUAUGCUUAAAACUUCUAGUUUGUUUGAUUUAGCUUUAUCUUUUAGCCUUUUGCGUUUCCCUUACUGUGUUUAUCUGGAAACUCAUUUCAAUAUCUUGUGUUCUCCCGUUGCUGAUCUUAGUUGAGAGUAAUCUUAUAUAACUUUGGUUUUUAAAAGAAGUUGGUAUGUACUCUGAUUUUGGGCUUUCAAAUUGUUGCUUUGGGUGGGUUUGUGCGCAAUUCAAGCGAAAAUGAGUUUAAACUAUGUUCUGUUUAUAUCGCAUUUUCACACCAACAUAGGAGCUGACUGAUUGUUGAUUAAUUAUAUUUCUUGGCUUUUUAUGUGGGUUCUGGUCACAAUUGUGUUGCCUUGUAUAACUUUUUCCCCCUUUUGUGGUCUUUUUUUGAAACCAAAGAAGAAAAUUUCUAAUGACGAAGCUCAGCUUCUUGUGUUUCUUUCUACCUUGAUGUCACAGUAGAAAUUAUUUAGGGUCAUUCUUUGAUACAGCAAUUAGUGUAAGCAAUUCAAUUUCCAAUGCUAUAUAUUGCAUGUGUUCUUCAUAUAGCGAGGCAAGAAUGAAAUUCAUAGUUUUCUAUGUUUUUUCAGUAUCUUGGAGCUUUCUUGGGUUGAAUAAAUGUUAGUAUCACUAUCCCAUUUCUUGAGUUGAGCUGUUAUACAAGACAAAGUAUUCAUUGUUGUUAGCCUAGAGUACUAAUUACUCCAGUGUGAUACUUGUGGUUUUCAAAGGUAUUUGGGGAGCUCUUUCAGUAAUCAAUUCAAUGGUUUUGCAAUCUUUUGUGAAACUGAAGAUAAUGAGAUUUAGUAUGGAUAGCACUCUAGAUGUCAACAGUGGUUAGCAUCACAGGAUAACAGUGUCCACCUACAGGCUUAUAAAUUCAGAAUUUCUGGAACUAUUCAAGUUCUUGAAAACUUGAGCUGUGGUGAAAUGGUUAUAAAUAGUGAUGGAGGAGGGGUAGCAGAUGUUAAGGAAGAUUUCAAUCUGAAAACGACUGGAAAUGGUUUUGACACUCUUAACAUUUCAACUUCUCGGAAGGCGCUGCUUGGUGAUGACAAUCCUUGCAUCGGGAAGCAAGAUAAGUUGAAAAUAAUCUCUACGAGACUAAAUAUACUGCAAUUUAGUUCUGAUGGCAGUCUAGUUUCUCCAUCGGCUAAAUUCAGGCAGAUUGCAGAGGAAAGAGAUGAAAUAUCACGUUCUGUGCCUUCUUCAGCUAGCCAAGGUUUACGAGAACGCUUCAAUGGAAUUGUGGCUCAAAAAAUUGAUUGGGCAUAUUUAUGGAACAUCUCCAGAAACUGGAUCAAGAAUCCCUUUAACAUGGCGCUAUUUCUGUGGAUCAGUUGUGUUGCAGUCUCAGGAGCAAUCCUUUUUCUAGUAAUGACAGGAUUGCUAAAUAGUGUCCUACCAAAGAAAUCUCAGAGAGAUGCCUGGUUCGAGGUUAACAAUCAAAUCCUCAAUGCUCUCUUUACUCUCAUGUGCCUGUACCAACACCCAAAGCGAUUCCACCACCUUGUGCUUCUGUGUAGGUGGAGACCAAAGGACAUAACAACACUCAGAAAAAUAUACUGCAAAAAUGGCACUUAUAAACCACAUGAGUGGGCUCAUAUGAUGGUGGUUAUUGUUUUGCUUCACAUAAAUUGCUUUGCUCAAUAUGCUUUAUGUGGCCUCAAUUUGGGAUACAAAAGAUCCAAACGACCUGCAAUAGGUGUUGGUAUCUGCCUCUCCAUUGCAAUUGCUGCUCCAGCAAUAGCCGGUGUCUAUGCGAUUGUUAGCCCCCUUGGGAGGGAGUAUGAACCUGAAUUUGAUGAAGAAGCACAGAAUAAAACUGUUACCAAUGGCACUAGUCAUGCUAGCCGCUGCAUGUCACUGGAGAAGAGAUUCUCAUUUGCAUCACGAGAUGAGCAGAGAAUUGCUGAGUAUGCACCCGUAUGGAGAGGGGGAUUAUUUGACAUUUGGGACAACAUUUCUAUAGCAUAUCUUUCUCUUUUCUGUAGCUUUUGUAUGUUUGGGUGGAACAUGGAAAGACUUGGGUUUGGGAACAUGUAUGUUCAUAUUGCUACCUUUAUCCUCUUCUGCGUUGCUCCUUUUUGGAUCUUCAACUUGGCUGCCAUCAACAUUGAUAAUGAGACUGUCAGGGAGGUUCUAGGAUUAACUGGUAUAGUGCUUUGUUUAUUUGGUCUACUUUAUGGUGGCUUCUGGAGGAUCCAAAUGAGAAAGAGAUUCAAUUUGCCGGCUAAUAAGGCAUGUUGUGGAAAAUCAGAUAUAACAGAUUGCACUAAUUGGCUUUUUUGUUGUUGGUGCUCUCUUGCCCAGGAAAUCCGAACAGCUGACUUCUACGACAUUGUGGAGGACAAGUUUUGCAGGAAGCAAAUAGAUGAGAGUAACCGGCCAACACUCUCUCCCUUACCCCACGAUGGAGUAGUUCAGUUUAGCUAUAACCCAAAAUCUCCACUUCAAAACAGCCCUAGACUGUCUAGGCUCAGGGCUGAUUACUCUCCAAGUCCAAGCAGAUUUUCGAAAUAUUAUUGUCCAGGCAGGCAGCUUCGCAAGGUGGAAGACGAGUUUUCUUCAAAAGAUGCUGACAAUUUUAUGAAGCCACCUGUUUUAUCAUCAAUACAAAGAUGAAGAGUUACCAACCAAAAUAUGUGAAGAUAAUUACUGUUAGCACAUUUGUAGACAUACAGAGUGCUUUAGCUUAAAAUUCGGAUAAACCUGCACAAUGGUGCAUCUGGAUUACACGUAUUUCAUUUUCUUUUUGCAUCGUCAUACUCCCAUGUAGCUUGUAUCUUGUAUUGUAUUUCAAUGAGUCCUUUCUGUUAGCUUGUAAGUGCAACUGGAUACUGUCAAAUUUUAUUGCAUUGAUUGAUCUCUUUG
rnacentral:misc_RNA from 1 species